rnacentral:rRNA from 1 species
GACGAACGCUGGCGGCGUGCUUAACACAUGCAAGUCGAACGGAAAGGCCCCUUUGGGGGUACUCGAGUGGCGAACGGGUGAGUAACACGUGAGUAACCUGCCCUUGACUUCGGGAUAACUUCAGGAAACUGGGGCUAAUACCGGAUAGGAAUCCUUGCUGCAUGGUGGGGGUUGGAAAGCUUCGGCGGUUUUCGAUGGACUCGCGGCUUAUCAGCUUGUUGGUGGGGUAGUGGCUUACCAAGGCUUUGACGGGUAGCCGGCCUGAGAGGGCGACCGGCCACAUUGGGACUGAGAUACGGCCCAGACGCCUACGGGAGGCAGCAGUGGGGAAUAUUGCACAAUGGGCGGAAGCCUGAUGCAGCAACGCCGCGUGCGGGAUGACGGCCUUCGGGUUGUAAACCGCGUUCAGCAGGGGCGAAGCUUGUGGUGACGGUACCUGCAGAAGAAGCACCGGCUAACUACGUG